UACGGAGGGUGCAAGCGUUGUUCGGAAUCAUUGGGCGUAAAGCGCGUGUAGGCGGCUUGGCAAGUCAGUUGUGAAAGCCCGGGGCCCAACCCCGGAACUGCAUCUGAAACUGCCUGGCUAGAGUCCCGGAGAGGAAGGCAGAAUUCCCGGUGUAGGGGUGAAAUGCGCAGAUAUCGGGAAGAACACCCGUGGCGAAGGCGGCUCUCGUGGGACGGUGACUGACGCUGAGACGCGAAAGCGUGGGGAGCGAACAGG
rnacentral:rRNA from 1 species